CUGGAUUCUGUUUGGACAAAACUGAACUGGAGGCUUUGAUCCAGGCAUGCGCCAAAUGUUCUCCAACUCCUAUUACAGGAACAAGAGGCCAAACCAAUGACCAGACCUCCUGAAAGCUUGGAAUCACACUCUGAGAUAUUUCAGUUUGGGGAUUUGGGCUAAAUCAGCUUUAAAGGAAUCCUGUUUCUAUCUCCCCCAGAGCACAGAUAAAAACCCUCAGCUCCAACCCCUCCAAUCUAUUGAUCUGCUCCUGUGGCCACAGCUGCCUUGAGAAAGUAGAUGUAGCCUAUGACAUCUUGAAAGCAUUCCAGAUUUUAAAAAUGUUUUCUGUGCUAGUUGUUUUUUGCUUCUCUUUUCCUUGGAUCUGGUGCAAAUAUUCUUAAAUGAAUUUUAAAUGAUCUGAGCCUGUGCCCGUUUCUUUUGUUGCAAAAUUUAAGAUCAACCUAGCUUUUUUUUUUUUCUUCUCCCAAAGAUCAUGCUGCACUGUGAAACUAUUUGGGCAGAUUUUUCCCCUCAUUUUCACUGAAAUUGCUUUUUAUGGAGAUAUUUAAGAGGAUGAUAUACAUUGAUGCUCUCAAAAAGGAUGAAAGGAAAUUGUGAGAACUAUAAGAACUCUAUCACAACACUUUUAUCUUCGGGUUUUCAAAGCUGUCUACUGCCUUACAAUGAAAAUAGCCAACUCCUAAGUCUACUUAUACCAGUGGGCACCAAAGUUUAUGAUGCCACCAUCACCAAGGAGGCACAUGGAAGCAGGCCACAGAAGAAUUUAAAUUUCCAUCCACUUAAAGAGCAGGGGUAGCAGCUAAAUUUACAACCUUAUCCCUCAGAAGGAAAGCCUGAAGUUAUUGAGAAGACUGCAAGUGCCAGAUGACUUUUCUCCCUCGUGGAAAGCCCCAGCAGCAGUCAUCCAGGAUGGAGGACCAACAACAACAAGUAACCACCCUGGAGUGGCAAAAUCUGACUCUCAACAAAGCAAAUUCAACACCUGAACUUUAGUUUCUCAUGGGUUAAAGCUUUGACAUCAUUGCCCUUGGAGGCUGAGGUUCAGGCUCCAUUAAUUUACAGGGAAGGACACGUGUGAGGAGCUCCCCACAGCCCGUGGUGGGGAUGUUUUGUGGCAGCACAAAAUCUCCACACAAUGCAGCAUGAUUGGCAGUGCAGGAAAGGCUGCAGCUGCUGGGAUGGCAGUCGGUGAUGGGGACUUGCCCACUGCAUCCCAGAGCACUGGGAACCUUCCUCAUCCCUGCUUUGGAGUUCACCCAGUCCUUUGCCUCACACCUAAAAUUCCAGAAAUAAAUUUCUUUGCCCCUGGUAGAUAAGGUAGUUU
rnacentral:lncRNA from 1 species